UCCCUGGUGGUUCAGAGGUUAAAACUUCUGCCUGCAAUGCGGGAGACCUGGGUUCGAUCCCUGGGUUGGGAA
rnacentral:tRNA from 1 species